GGGUGAUUAGCUCAACGGUAGAGCACUGGACUCUUAAUCCAUUGGUUCAGGGUUAGAGUCCCUGGUCACCCA
rnacentral:tRNA from 1 species